AAGAAAAUGGCAGAGUGGAAAUGCGUCUGGCUUGAAAUCAGAUAAUGGGGGUUCAAUUCCCUCUUUUCUCG
rnacentral:tRNA from 1 species